CACUUUUAGACACAAUCUGUUCUGGGUCAAUAUUUGUUUCACCUUGGCAAAGCUUCCUAUACAAACCUGUGAUCAUAUGCCUUUGUUUUCUCACUUCAGGUACAAGAGAGGUGAGCACAAGAUGGGCCAAAUAUGAGAUGUGGAAUCAGGAAAAACAGAAAAAGUGGAAGAAAUGGCAAACGUGGACGUGAGAGCAGCUGGGUUUUCUAGCUCUGGGCGUCUGCAGGAAUCAUGUUCCAGGAAGGGCUGGGAGAGGCUGCGGGGAAAAGGAAGGGGUGCAGGGGAGUGUGCCCCACCCUUGCCCUGUGCCUGCAGGUGGGCCGGACUUGGACCCUGCCUGGAUGAUCUGCGAAGAAAUAGGGUUCCAAAAGGGCAGAUCCCAAGACAAUGCCUUAUAAAGGUCCUGGCUAACGUUUCCAUGGCAGCUUGCUGAGUGGCCGAGCUGAUCUCAGCCCUUCCAGGGGUGACUCAUUGACUCCUCCCAAGCUGGAGAGGUGAGAGUUCUUUUCCGGUUUACAUAUCAGGAAGCUGAGGCAUGGAAAGGUAGCUGGAGACCACCCUGGCUGAGCUGUGAUCAGUCGCAUCUAGACUAGUUUGGUGUUUCAGAGCAAGUCUCUCAAAUGCCCUGUGCCUCAAUGCUCUCAUCUGCACGUUGGAAGAAAGAAUUCCUGCUUCCCAGAGCCGUUGGGAGGAGUAACAGAGGUGAAGUGUGUAAAGUACACACGAAAGGAACUCAGCUGACAGCAGCAUCUUCACUGGUUCCUCUCUGUGACACAGGGAACGUGAUCAUGCCAACAACAUCCUUUGCUGUGAACAUCAAACAAACAAACACAUGUGAUGAAGUUACAACAGCCCCUAGCCCAUAGGAGGAACUCAGAUAGUUUCAGAUUUCUGACCCACGGAAAGGCAAGAUAUUCUAAUUCUGCACUGCCCAGUAGGGUGGCCUCUAGCCACAUGUGGCCACUGAGAUCCUGCAGUGUGGCCUGUCCAAGCUGAACCGAACUCUUGGUGGGAAAUGCUCACCAGAUUUGAAGACUUUGUAUGACAGAAUGAACAGAAAUAUCUUGACAUUUUUGUCUCAGGUA
rnacentral:lncRNA from 1 species